rnacentral:rRNA from 1 species
AUUGAACGCUGGCGGCAGGCCUAACACAUGCAAGUCGAGCGAGCGGCGGACGGGUGAGUAAUGUAUGGGGACUGCCCGAUAGAGGGGGAUAACUACUGGAAACGGUGGCUAAUACCGCAUACUAUCGGAUAACCCAUAUGGGAUUAGCUAGUAGGUGGGGUAAAGGCUCACCUAGGCGACGAUCCCUAGCUGGUCUGAGGGGAUGAUCGGCCGAACGGCGACAGCGACACGGCCCAGACUCCUACGGAGGCAGCAGGGGGGAAUAUUGCAAAAUGGGAGGAAGCGGGAUGCAGCCAUGCCGCGUGGAUGAAGAAGGCAUUAGGGUUGUAAAGUACUUAAAGCGGGUAGGCGGUAAGCGCAGAAGAAGCACCGGCUAACUCCGUGCCAGCAGCCGCGGUAAUAC